rnacentral:lncRNA from 1 species
CAAGCAUCCUAUCUCUGUGUGACUAUGAGUGAUAAAGAAGAACACUUCAUGUCUGCAGCCAGAGAAAUGUAGCCCAGUUCUAAGGCAACUAGAGAUAAAGCACUUUCAGGAUGGAGAGACCCACACUUCUGUAGAUGGAACAGAAGAUAAAAGGAGGGGGAAAAUAUUUGUUUUUCUUCUCUGAGUCAGUCAUGACUCAUUUGAUCACAUAAGUGCACAGAACUAAUUCUAGAGAACUGAAGAGCAAGAAGUGAACAUAAACCACUAUUAUGGGCUUGCUUUCCCUUUGAGUGAUGGCCAAGGUCUUUCUGCCAUUACUCUCUGGCACACAUAGCAUACAGUCUUGGUGCAGGCUGCCCAUGAAGUGCCUCAUCCUGUCCUUGCUGCACAGUGGCUCACACUUCAGAUCUCACCCAGGAGAGCAUUUUCUCUGUAUGUUCUUCUCCUCCGUCCAGAAACCCCAUCUGGCCAUACAGACCAUGAUGCAAGAGCAAGUGGCUGAGGUGAGCAGGAGCAUGAG